CAGCCGCCGCGGUAAUACGGAGGGCGCGAGCGUUACCCGGAUUUACUGGGCGUAAAGGGCGUGUAGGCGGCCUGGGGCGUCCCAUGUGAAAGGCCACGGCUCAACCGUGGAGGAGCGUGGGAUACGCUCAGGCUAGAGGGUGGGAGAGGGUGGUGGAAUUCCCGGAGUAGCGGUGAAAUGCGCAGAUACCGGGAGGAACGCCGAUGGCGAAGGCAGCCACCUGGUCCACUUCUGACGCUGAGGCGCGAAAGCGUGGGGAGCAAACCGGAUUAGAUACCCCCGUAGUCCCUGUCUCUUAUCC
rnacentral:rRNA from 1 species